UACGGAGGGUGCGAGCGUUGUCCGGAAUCACUGGGCGUAAAGGGCGCGUAGGUGGCGCGGCAAGUCAGCGGUGAAAGCCCGAGGCUCAACUUCGGGUCGGCCGUUGAUACUGCUGUGCUUGAGCACUGUAGAGGCAGGUGGAAUUCCGGGUGUAGCGGUGGAAUGCGUAGAGAUCCGGAAGAACACCGGUGGCGAAGGCGGUCAUCUGGGCCAGUACUGACGCUGAGGAGCGAAAGCGUGGGGAGCGAACAGG
rnacentral:rRNA from 1 species